CGGGGCGUAGCGCAGCCUGGUAGCGCAUCUGCUUUGGGAGCAGAGGGUCGGGGGUUCAAAUCCCUCCGCCCCGACCA
rnacentral:tRNA from 4 species